UGAUGUGCGAAAAGUUUUGCAGCGUCUCAGAGAGUAUGGCAUUAAACUCAAACCAAGUAAGUGUGAUCUCUUUAAACCCCAGGUCCGUUAUUUGGGCAGAAUAGUGUCUGCAGAGGGCAGCCGAGUUGACCCAGCCGAUUUUGAAGCAGUAAGAGCAUUGAAAGAAAUCAGACCAGAGACUGUGGGCCAGCUCAGAAAAAUGCUUGGUUUACUCACGUACUACAGACAGUACAUCAAAGACUUUUCUAGGAGUGCCAGCUGCCUGUAUGACCUCCUGAAAGCAGAUUCAGAGAAAUUACCUGACCACCCACGGAAAACAAAAACAAAGAAAGUAAGUCAUGUGGUGCCCUCAAACAAGCCAAUCCUGUGGACUGACCAGCAUCAACAGGCACUUGAACAGCUGAUUGAGUGUUUGCUUCACCCACCAGUUUUAGGUUUCCUGAUUUCACUCAGCCAUUUGUUGUACACACUGAUGCGUCACACCAAGGCUUGGGAGCAGUUCUUUAUCAAAAGCAAGAGGGGAAGCUUAGGGUCAUUGCUUAUGGCUCUCGAACCUUAACAGCAGCUGAGAAGAACUAUCACUACCACUCGAGCAAGCUAGAAUUUCUAGCUCUAAAAUGGGCAAUCACUGAUAAGUUCCAUGACUAUUUGUACUAUGCUCCCACCUUCACUGUAUACAGCGAUAACAACCCGCUCUGCUACAUUCUGUCUACUGCAAAACUGAACGCAACCACUUCCAGGUGGGUUGCAGACUUGGCUGAUUUCCACUUUACAAUAAAGUACAGGCCAGGCAGAGAGAACGGUGAUGCAGAUGCUUUGUCAAGGAUGCCACUGGAUGUAGAGUCACUGAUGAGAGAAUGUUCUGAGGAGCUUCCACCAGACACCAUCGCCGCCACGAUACAAGCAGUUGAGGUACAGAAAGAGGCUGUUGUACCUUGGUCAUUUUCAGCUGCAUCUAUGUCAGUAUCAGCUGAAGGUGAGACAACCACUGCAACAACCAGCUCGAUCCCAAAAGAUGGGAUUAGAGAAGCACAAGAAUCUGAUCCAGUCAUCCGUCCUGUGCUCAAUUUCAAACUGUCGGGUUCCAAACCGCCAGUUAAAGAGCAAAAGAAAUUCAGUCCAAAGACAAAAUGCCUAUUCAGAGAAUGGGACAAAUUGACAAUAGACAGUGAUGGCAUUUUGUACAGAAUCACUACAGCCCGCAAGCAGUUAGUUCUACCAGAGCAGUACAAAGGUAAAGUGAUGGAAGAGUUGCACAAUAACAUGGGACACCAAGGUACUGACCACACUGUAUCACUAGUACGUGACCGCUUCUUCUGGCCAUAUAUGCAAUCUGACAUCGAGCACUAUGUGACUAAAACUUGUAGCUGUGUCAAGCAGAAAAGGCCAGCCCAUGCAACAAGAGCUCCUCUGACAAACAUUGUGACAACACAGCCAUUUGAACUGGUAUGUAUAGACUUCCUUCAUCUCGACAGAUGCAAAGGAGGAUAUGAGUACAUCCUCGUGAUUGUUGAUCAUUUUACACGUUUCACUCAAGCCUACGCCACCACAUCAAAGUCAGGUAAAACUGCUGCAAAUCUCAUCUUCAAUGAUUUUGCCCUGAAGUUUGGGUUCCCGUCCCGCAUCCACCAUGACCAAGGGGGAGAAUUUGAAAAUCAGUUGUUCCAUCAGUUAAAGAAACUCAGUGGCAUGGCGGGGUCCAGGACAACACCCUAUCACCCGAUGGGAAACGGUCAAGCGGAACGCAUGAACAGAACAUUGUUGCAAAUGUUAAAGACACUAACUGAGACACAAAAGUCAAAUUGGAAGGAGUCUCUGAACAAACUGGUUUAUGCCUAUAACUGCACCCGUUGCGAAGUGACUGGCUAUUCACCAUUUUAUCUUCUGUUUGGGAGAUCACCCAGGCUUCCAGUUGAUAUGCUCUUUGGAUUGUGCACAGAGGCAGGUUCCAGUAACCAGCGAGAAUACGUGGAGAACUGGAAACGAGGGAUGGAAGAAGCAUACGCCAUUGCAAAUGAAAAUGCUCAGAAAGCCGCUGAAAGAAGUAAGAAGUACUAUGACACUAAAGUUAGGAGUUCAGUGCUACAGCCUGGCGAGCGAGUUCUGAUUAAAAACCUGACACCAAGAGGAGGACCAGGAAAACUCCGUAACUAUUGGGAAGAUACAAUUCACACAGUGGUGAGACAAAUGGGUUCAGACCUGCCGAUUUAUGAAUUGAGACCAGAAAAGGGUAGGGGACGCUCCAGGGUCCUGCACAGAAAUCUGCUCAUGUCCUGUGACCACUUACCUUUGAGACACAACCAGAAAUGACCAAAGUGGACAAAAGUCAGAAAACGAGGAGACACCAGCCUGCAUCACAGACUCUAGAUUCUGAUGAAGACAGUGGGGAUGAAUAUGACCUUCAUCAUGAUCCGCUACAGGUUCCCACAUCUCCUACAGUACCUGAGGAGAGGAAUGCUGAACCAGCGAGAGAGUGGGAACACAGACCCCAACAGUGAAACAGACAGUUGCAGUGCCAGUCCCUUAUACACUACCAGCACAGCCUCUUGUUGAAAAGCGGCUGGAGGAGACAACAGUUAAAGACCUACCUGCUGAGGAGAUUAACUUGCCUGCUGAAAAUUUGCCUGAUGAUCGUCCACCAAGUGCCUUUCCUUCAUAUACUGAUGCUGCUGAACCUGAGGAACCAGCCUACCAGCUGCCACAAAGAGAGAGACACCCUCCAAGACGUAUCACCUAUGAUCAGCUUGGUAUCCCUUCCUGCUACAGUAUACAGCCACAGCCACAGUUGUUCCCUGUCUACUCUGCACCAGGACUGGUUCCAUGGCUGCCAUCACUACAGCAAUGUUACUUUCAGCCACCUUACAUGUAUGGGCUUCAGCAAACAUGAGGCUACAGAGUUGACAUGUUUGACCAUGGACUACUGUCAGAUUUCACAGACUGUCAAAAGAGACAAUUUACAGACUAUGCAUAUAGAUCAUUAAAAUUGAUGGACUGUUGAUCAAUAGUAUGAGAAAAUACUGCUUAUGUUAUAUAGCUGGUCAACAGAUAUGGACUGUGAAUAUAACUUGUUAGUUAUAUUUGAACUGUGACCCGUGACUUCUGCUCAAGUACUACCUUACAGAAGAGGAUUUUCUAGGUCCAGUGCAUACGAACUGUUGAAGAAGACAAUGUUGGUAAUGUUGGGACAACAUUUAUUUUGUCGGGGAGAGUGUGACAGGUUAAAGGACAUAUUCAUAGCCUGUCAUACAUUGGAAAGUAUUAGUAAGUUCAUAGUAUGUGAGGAUCUUAAAACAUCUAAGGUUAAAAUAUGCAUUCAGUAUUAGUUGAUAGAGAUUGAUAACAUUCAUAUAAUUGUGUUAAAGUUCAAAUCUGUCAAAGGGUACGAAUUGUGAGAGUAAUGUGUAAACGUUAUAUUGAUUACUUUAUUUUGUGGUGCCUAAAAGUGUUAAUCUGUGAUCUACGAAAUGCUUGUAAUCUAUGAGCCGGAGAUCGAUUGCUCUGGUCUCCACCCAUAUUCCUGGGGAAAUUCGCGGUCUUUUUCUCAUUGAACUAAAUGUUGACUUGAUAAUACAACACCGUAUCACUCUCGUGAUUAUUUCUCCCCUGUUUUCAAAAAUGUAGCACGAGGGUGGCAGCAUCAUGUCGUGGGGGUGCUUUACUGCAGGAGGGACUGGUGCACUUCACAAAAUAGAUGGCUUCAUGAGGAUGGAAAAUUAUGUGGAUAUAUUGAAGCAACAUCUCAAGACAUCAGUCAGGAAGUUAACGCUUGGUCGCAAAUGGGUCUUCCAAAUGGACAAUGACAUACUUACAAAGUUGUGGCAAAAAAAAACCCUGACCUCAAUCCUAUAUUUAAUUUGUGGGCAGAACUGAAAAAGCGUGUGCGAGCAAGGACGUCAACAAACCUGACUCAGUUACACCAGCUCUGUCAGGAGGAAUGGUCCGAAAUUCACCCAACUUGCUUGUGGAAGGCUACCCAAAACAUUUGACCCAAGUUAAACAAUUGAAUGGCAAUGCUACCAAAUACUAAUUGAGUGUAUGUUAUCUUCUGACCCACUGGGAAUUUGAUGAAAAAAAUAAAAGCUGAAAUAAUCA